rnacentral:tRNA from 1 species
GGGUAUAGCUCAGUGGUAGAGCACAUGCAUGCUUAGCACGCACAAGGUCCUGGGUUCAAUCCCCAGUACCGCCA